CUGAAAUAGCUGAGGAUCUGCCGUCUGGCAAAAUGCCAAUGUUUUGUGUAGUUUACAGCUGCUCCAAUCGUUCUAAUCGAGAAAAGGGAAAGGGUUUUUAUAGAGUACCGAAGAUUGUCACUCAUAAAGGUGAGAAAUGUAAAAAGCUCACAGAACAACGCCGUAAAAAGUGGAUUUUUAACGUACGUCUGCGGUCGGGAGGAGCAGAGUCUGUUAAUGCCCGUGACUGCAGCGACCACUUCGUCUGAGGUUGCCCUAGCGCUUUGGGUGACGUUGAGUCGGUAGAUUGGGCUCCGACGGUCAACCUAGGUUACCAAAAACCUAAGCCCAAAUCAGAGGCGUCUCUUAAACGAGAGCAAAGGAUGAAGAUCAAGGAAGACCAACAAAGACGGUCGGAAUGUGCAGAUGCUAUGUUGGAUCUCCAACAGACAGAUGAGAGCCCGGAUCUGACGCAGACAGCCGAAAGCUCAGAACCGAAGCAGCCAGCUGACAACAACCCACAAUCAGAGGGGAUCAGUGGGAAUGGGACAUUAAAUGAUAAAGGCUAUGUAGAUGCCGGAUGCCAGACUGAGCUAACAAUGGAUGACAUUGAGAAGAUGGAGGAUGUUCUGAGACAAAACACCCCAUGUCAUUUACAUAUCUUGUGCCUGGGGAGGGAGAGUCAGCGAUAAACAGAUCACAAUAGAGAGUGGCCGCCUAAAAUACCUGUUACCUGGAGAUAUUGUCCUAGCAGACCGUGGGUUCAAUAUUGGUGAUAGUGUGGGAUUUUACUGUGCUUCACUACAGAUACCUGCAUUUACCAAGGGGAGAAAACAGCUGUCAGCGUAUGAGGUGGCAGACACAAGAAAAAUAGCGAAUUUGCGUAUUCAUGUUGAGAGAGUUAUCGGUUUAGUCAGAAGAAAAUAUCAGAUUCUGCAAAGCAGGGCUAUGCCCAUAGAGCACAUGGCAACAAAACAAGGUGAGGCACUAGCAUUGAUUGACAAGAUUGGGGUUAUUUGCUGCGUCUUGUCUAAUAUUUCGGAGUCUAUUGUCCCAUUGGAGUAAGGAGGAGGGAGAGAUAGGGAUAAUAAUCAGUCAGUCCAAUACCUGAGCCCUCACACAUGUAGUGUCCAAUACCUGAUCCCUGCUUCUUGGCUCUGAUGAUGAUGAUAAGUAAGAGGACAUGGAGUAGUAGUACCUGAGCCCCGACACAUAUCAGUCUGUUAACCCUUGUGUGCUGUUCGGGCUGUUUUCAGCCACUAGGGUGUUUUUUUGAGUCGUUUUUUGGCCAUAACUUUCUCUGUGUUUCAGCUAAUGGAAUGAUUUUUGGUGACAAAUCUUAUUUUCACACAUAUUUUAGGAAAAUGCUUUGAAAAUUUUCAAAAACUCAACAGUAGACUGUGGGCAAAUUCACUACCCUUUGGUUAUGUUCAUGGCUGAAAACAGCCACUACUUUAAACUGCUGUAAAAAUUUAUCAGAUAAAUAUUUUUUAAUUUUUUUUUUGCAAAAAUCUAUUAAUCAA